rnacentral:rRNA from 1 species
AUUGAACGCUGGCGGCAUGCCUUACACAUGCAAGUCGAACGGUAACAGGGAGCUUGCUCCGCUGACGAGUGGCGAACGGGUGAGUAAUGUAUCGGAACGUACCUUUUAGUGGGGGAUAACGUAGCGAAAGUUACGCUAAUACCGCAUAUUCUCUGAGGAGGAAAGCAGGGGACCUUCGGGCCUUGCGCUAAUAGAGCGGCUGAUAUCAGAAUAGCUAGUUGGUGAGGUAAAGGAUCACCAAGGCGACGAUCUGUAGCGGGUCUGAGAGGAUGACCCGCCACACUGGAACUGAGACACGGUCCAGACUCCUACGGGAGGCAGCAGUGGGGAAUUUUGGACAAUGGGGGCAACCCUGAUCCAGCCAUGCCGCGUGAGUGAAGAAGGCCUUCGGGUUGUAAAGCUCUUUCGGCCGGGAAAAAAUCGCAUGGGUUAAUACCCUGUGUGGAUGAUGGUACCGGAAUAAGAAGCACCGGCUAACUACGUGCCAGCCGCCGCCGUAAAAC